rnacentral:rRNA from 1 species
CGAUAAGCGCCGGUAAGGUGAUAUGAACCGUUAUAACCGGCGAUUUCCGAAUGGGGAAACCCAGUGUGAUUCGUCACACUAUCAUUAACUGAAUCCAUAGGUUAAUGAGGCGAACCGGGGGAACUGAAACAUCUAAGUACCCCGAGGAAAAGAAAUCAACCGAGAUUCCCCCAGUAGCGGCGAGCGAACGGGGAGGAGCCCAGAGCCUGAAUCAGCAUGUGUGUUAGUGGAAGCGUCUGGAAAGGCGCGCGAUACAGGGUGACAGCCCCGUACACAAAAGCGCAUGUGCUGUGAGCUCGAUGAGUAGGGCGGGACACGUGGUAUCCUGUCUGAAUAUGGGGGGACCAUCCUCCAAGGCUAAAUACUCCUGACUGACCGAUAGUGAACCAGUACCGUGAGGGAAAGGCGAAAAGAACCCCGGCGAGGGGAGUGAAAAAGAACCUGAAACCGUGUACGUACAAGCAGUGGGAGCACAGGUUUACCUGUGUGACUGCGUACCUUUUGUAUAAUGGGUCAGCGACUUAUAUUCUGUAGCAAGGUUAACCGAAUAGGGGAGCCGGAGGGAAACCGAGUCUUAAUUGGGCGUUAAGUUGCAGGGUAUAGACCCGAAACCCGGUGAUCUAGCCAUGGGCAGGUUGAAGGUUGGGUAACACUAACUGGAGGACCGAACCGACUAAUGUUGAAAAAUUAGCGGAUGACCUGUGGCUGGGGGUGAAAGGCCAAUCAAACCGGGAGAUAGCUGGUUCUCCCCGAAAGCUAUUUAGGUAGCGCCUCGUGAAUUCAUCUCCGGGGGUAGAGCACUGUUUCGGCUAGGGGGCCAUCCCGGCUUACCAACCCGAUGCAAACUGCGAAUACCGGAGAAUGUUAUCACGGGAGACACACGGCGGGUGCUAACGUCCGUCGUGAAGAGGGAAACAACCCAGACCGCCAGCUAAGGUCCCAAAGUCAUGGUUAAGUGGGAAACGAUGUGGGAAGGCCCAGACAGCCAGGAUGUUGGCUUAGAAGCAGCCAUCAUUUAAAGAAAGCGUAAUAGCUCACUGGUCGAGUCGGCCUGCGCGGAAGAUGUAACGGGGCUAAACCAU